CAAGAAGGUCGGGCAAUCGCGGGCCGGGGUGACCCGGUUCGAGGAAAGUCCGGGCACUGCAGAGCAGAAUGCCAGCUAACGGCUGGGCGGCGUGAGCCGACGGAAAGUGCCACAGAAAACGUACCGCCGGGCAACCGGUAAGGGUGAAAAGGUGCGGUAAGAGCGCACCGCGCAGCGGGUAACCGUCUGCGGCAGGGUAAACCCCAUUCAGUGCAAGACCAAAUAGGAAAACAGGCUCGUUUCGCACGGGCACGGUGUGGCUCGCACCGGGUUUUCGGGUAGGUCGCUUGAGGCUGGCAGUGAUGCCAUGCCCAGAUGAAUGGUUGCCGCCUGGUGACAGGACAGAACCCGGCUUAUAGACCUUCUUGCCUU
rnacentral:RNase_P_RNA from 2 species